rnacentral:SRP_RNA from 1 species
GCUGGGCGUGGUGGCGCAUGCCUGUAAUCCCAGCUACUCAGGAGGCUGAGGCAGGAGAAUUGCUUGAACUCGAGAGGCAGAGACUGCAGUGAGCCGAGAUUGCGCCACGGCACUCCAGCCUGGGCAACAGAGCGAGAUUCUGUCUCAU